GUUUUUCGGGGUGCUCUGGUGACUGGGAGUUCUGGGUGCUUGGGUCCAGCUUCGGGGUUUGCAGAGAUGGUGUUGGCGUGGGUGGUUGUGGGGCUCCAGAGGCGGGUUGCUUUGGGGUUUGUAGAGAUGAUGUUGGCGCGUAGCCGUGGUUGUGCGGGUUCCUGAGGCGGUAUUUGGGGAUUUCUUUGGGGUUUGUAGAGAUGUCGUUGGCGAAGGUGGUAAUGGGGUUCCAGAGGUGAGUUUUGGGUCUUGCUUUGGGGCUUGCUGACGUAUAUUUA
rnacentral:lncRNA from 1 species